UAACUCCGUGCCAGCAGCCGACGGUAAUACGGAGGGUGCGAGCGUUUAAUCGGAAUUACUGGGCGUAAAGCGCAUGCAGGUGGUUUGUUAAGUCAGAUGUGAAAGCCCGGGGCUCAACCUCGGAAUUGCAUUUGAAACUAGGCAAACUAGAGUACUGUAGAGGGGGUAGAAUUUCAGGUGUAGCGGUGAAAUGCGUAGAGAUCUGAAGGAAUACCGGUGGCGAAGGCGGCCCCCCUGGACAGAUACUGACACUCAGAUGCGAAAGCGUGGGGAGCAAACAGGAUUAGAUACCCUGGUAG
rnacentral:rRNA from 1 species